rnacentral:rRNA from 1 species
GGAUUAGGCAUGCAAGUCGAAUGAAUCCCGUAGCAAUACGGGGAAAUGGCGAAAGGGGCAGUAAUGUAUAGGUAACCUACCUCGGGGUUGGGCAUAGCCGUUCUAACGGACGGGUAAUUCCCAGAGAGUCGGCGAGCAGGCAUCUGUUUGCCGGGAAAGAAUUUCGCCUUGAGAGGGGCCUAUAUCGUAUUAGGUAGUUGGUGUGGUAACGGCACACCAAGCCGAAUAUGCGUAGCGGGUGUGAGAGCACGACCCGCGCCACUGGCACUGAGACACUGGCCAGACACCUACGGGUGGCUGCAGUCGAGGAUCUUCGUCAAUGGGGGAAACCCUGAACGAGCGAUGCCGCGUGAGCGAUGAAGGCCUUCGGGUUGUAAAGCUCAAAAGUGAAAAGAAAGGGAAACUUGAUCGAUUCACAGUAAGCUCGGGCUAAGUUCGUGCCAGCAGCCGCGGUAAGACGAACCGAGCGAACGUUGUUCGGAAUCACUGGGCUUAAAGGGCGCGUAGGCGGGUGCUCAAGUCUGUGGUGAAAUCCUCCAGCUUAACUGGAGAACUGCCAUGGAUACUGGGUGUCUCGAGGAAUGUAGGGGUAUGCGGAACGAUUGGUGGAGCGGUGAAAUGCGUUGAUAUCAAUCGGAACUCCGGUGGCGAAGGCGGCAUACUGGACGUUAUCUGACGCUGAGGCGCGAAAGCCAGGGGAGCAAACGGGAUUAGAUACCCCGGUAGUCCUGGCCCUAAACGAUGGGUACUAGCUAGUAGGGUUCACAUGGCUUUACUGGCGAAGCAAAAGUGCUAAGUACCCCGCCUGGGGAGUAUGGUCGCAAGGC